rnacentral:rRNA from 1 species
AUGAUGGCCAGAGCUGCACUUCUUCCUGUUGCGCUGCUGCUGUGCCUUGCACUGGCUGGCGGCGCCAAUGCUGCACGGAAGUCGACGGCCGGAUUCUAUGAACUCAAGAACAAGAAGGGGGAUUUCUCCAUCAAGGUCACCAAUUGGGGCGCUGCCCUCGUGUCUGCCAUCGUCCCUGAUGGCAAAGGGAACUUGGCUGAUGUUGUCCUUGGGUACGACACUGUCGCUGAAUAUGCUAAUGGCUCUGCUUCAUUCGGAGCGACGGUUGGGCGCGUAGCCAACAGAAUCGCAAACGCCCGCUUUGUUCUUGACGGCAAAACCUAUCACCUUCUCCGUAACGACGGCAACAACACGAUUCACGGAGGCCCCAAGGGGUUCGGCAAGGUCAUUUGGACGGUGAAGGAGCAUGUGAGCCAUGGUGACUCCCCAUACAUCACCUUCUACUACCACAGCUUGGACGGAGAGCAAGGAUUCCCAGGCGCCCUCGACGUGUACGUGAAGUACCAGCUGUCCCGCCCGUACGACCUGAGUAUCCGCAUGAACGUGACUGCGAGGAACAAGGCGACGCCAGUGAACCUCGCGAACCACGCGUACUGGAACCUGGCCGGUCACGGCAGCGGCGACGUCCUCAAGCACGAGCUCCAGAUGUUCGCCUCACACUACACCCCUGUCGACGGGUCCAUGAUACCGACGGGCGAGGUCGCGCCCGUGGCCGGCACGAUGUACGACUUCGGCAGGCGGAUCCCCGUGGGCACCAAGAUGAAGGUCGUCCCGGGCGGCGGCGCCGGGUACGACAUGAACUACGCCGUGGACGGGCAGCAGAACGCGAUGCGGCCGGUGGCGCGCGUCCUGGAGCCCAAGUCCGGGCGGGCGUUCGAGCUGUGGGCGAACCAGCCCGGCGUGCAGUUCUACACCGCCAGCUGGCUCAUCAACGAGAAGGGGAAGGCCGGGAAGGUGUACGGGCAGUACGGCGCGCUGUGCCUGGAGACGCAGGCGUACCCCGACGCCGUCAACCACCCCAACUUCCCGUCGUCCAUCGUGAGGCCCGGCCAGGUGUACAAGCACGACAUGGUCUUCAGGUUCUCCUACCAGGCCACCUACGACGCGUGA